UCUAUCUAAAAACUGUUUUAUUUCCAUUUUUAUUUUCAGUAUAAAAUCUUGGUACAAUGUAAAACAGAUUAAGCCUUUAUUUUUAAAGCCUUUAUUUUAAAGUUAGAGGAGGAAAUGGCACAUUUCAAAGUCUGCAUUUAGACCAUUUGGAAUCAGACUAUUUAGUUUGAAUAUCCAUUCCAUCUCUACCUUACUUAAUUUUUGAUUAAAAUCUCCUCCCCUCCAAUCUUUAGUUACUUUCUUAAUUCCUAAAAACAUAGUUCCUUUUAAUUCACAGUCAUGAUAGUUUUUAUAAUGCAGAGACACACUGUGUUUCUCGAAUCCUUUACUUAUAUUACGGCCAUGUUCCUCUAUUCUUAUAUGCAAAGGUCUGGUAGUUUUUCCUAUGUAAUUUAAACCACAGGGACAUCGUAAGAGAUAGAUUACAUUUUUUGAGUGGCAUGUAAUAAAUUCUUUGAUUUGG